UACAGAGGUCUCAAGCGUUGUUCGGAUUCACUGGGCGUAAAGGGUGCGUAGGUGGUAAGGUAAGUCGGAUGUGAAAUCUCCAGGCUCAACCUGGAAAUGGCAUCGGAAACUACCUUGCUCGAGGUUUGGAGGGGGGACUGGAAUACUUGGUGUAGCAGUGAAAUGCGUAGAUAUCAAGUGGAACACCAGUGGCGAAGGCGAGUCCCUGGACAACACCUGACACUGAGGCACGAAAGCUAGGGGAGCAAACAGG
rnacentral:rRNA from 1 species